AGUUGCCCCGCUUUGUUCCAGGACCUCGAUUUAACACCACUGAUCUGUCUGUUGCAGAUGAAGGGGCCACAUCUAGCAUUCCAGGUCCCAGUGAAACACAGACCAUUGAGACCAGGGAUACUGAGUCUGGGGGGGACAAAACUCAAUCUCACCUAAACCAAAGGACUCGAGCCGGCCCUGAUGAAUCGUUUUGCGCCUUCUGAAUUUGAAAAUAUGACCGUUAAUAUCGUCUUUCUGUGAGUGAGGCUGAGGUGGCUGACUGCUGCGAGUCACUGUUCUGUCGGUCCCAAACUAUUUUAUAUUUGCCUGUAUUUUAUUUAUUUUUAUUUUUGAGCGAAUUUGAGUCAUGACAUGUCAAUGGAGAACAAAAACUGUAAUGUGAACACAAGAAGGGUCAGAUGUGUUCUGCGAGAGCCUUCUGCGGCAAACAUAGGCUACUGGCAAAAUGAGAGUCAUUAAGGAUCCAGCUUGUUCAUGAAACAUUGAUGACUUCUGGAACAGUGCCUUGACAAAAGGACGCAAUGAACUGGAGUCUAUCGAGAAAUGGCAAAGCAGCAAACACAGCUGCAGAGAGAAGAAGAGGGAGGGGCUGAUGGACGCUAUAGCCUCCUGAAAGGGGAGAGCACUCUUCAGCAUGGAGAAAGACUGAAUUAAAGCAGGAAAAGGUGAAUUUUUCACUUGAGACUUCUCCUGAGGGUGAAGAGAACAUCGUGAACUGCAGAACUCUGGCAGAUAGCAACCAAAAGCCAGACUGAGAAGAAGCAGAGAAACAACGCCAGCACCACAAUGUCAGGUUUUUAAGUGCAGGCUGAUGAUGUAACCAGAAGGACUUCUAUCCCUUUUGUGCACAGGUGCUGCAUAUAAAAUGCACACUAAAGAGCCUGCUUCAAAUGUUAAUUAUUUUAUUUAAUUAUUUUAUUUAAUAAUUGUUUGCGUAUGUUAAUUUACUUGACGUCCAUUAAUUAUUUUCUUGCUAACCUUUUUUUAAGCCAAUUUUAUUAACAUUUUGACAGUCACAUUAAUGUAACCUUCCAGUACAUAUUAAAACAAUGCACAUAUCAUUUUCUAUAAAAUGGGCACUAGAUACAUUUGUGCAGCAUCAGAGAAUAUAAUACUCUGGCAAAUCUAAGAAAAUGUGUUCAUUAUAUGAGAUCAUUGCUUUUGCUACCUCAGUUUAUCUUGUUUUGUAAGCAGGCCUGAGCAGUUGCUUCUUUUGAAUUAACUUUAGUUAAUGUAAUUGAGAUAAUUAAAACAAUUAAUUCCUUUUUUUCACGUAAUCUAAACUACUCAGCUGCAGUUGAUUAAAGCUGAUAACAGGAGUACA